rnacentral:lncRNA from 1 species
AUGCUGCUGGGCCCUGAGGGAGGGGAGGGCUUUGUGGUCAGGCUCCAUGGCCCGCCCUGGCCCUGAUCUGUCGAGGAUGCGCAGGACGUCCUCUCCAACUGCACCAUGCCCCAUUGGGCUCAGGCGAGUUCCAUCUACACCGGAGAGGGGUAGGCAGAGUGGUGAGGCUUUUGCUGAACUUGGAUCAGAAGAGGACGUAAAAAUGGCCCUGGAAAAAGACCGGGAAAGCAUGGGACACUGGCGCAUUGCGGUGUUCAAGUCCCACAGAACCGAGGUGAGUUGGGUGUUGAAGGAAGCACGGCGGUCCCAACAGUGCGGGCAGCGCCAACUACGGCUUCGCGCUCGAACUUUGAGGACUCUCAUCUGGAUGCACAAAGAAGAAAUCAUUCAGUUCUUCUCAGUGUUGGAAAUCCCAAGAGUUGGCCUCGCAGGAGUUAGCUGAGAGGCUCUCGGAAAGCCCAAGGAGAGGACAGGGCACAGAGACAUGGAGGUGUUCAAGAGCAGCCAGGAGGAAGUUAGGUCGGACUCAGGUCCCCCUGAGACUCAUAUCCGUGCUGCCCCGGACCCCUGUGACUGGCCCGGGCUUCCGGGAGCUACCCUGGCAUCGUGAAGCAGGCAGGCGCAGGAUGCGGGGCCACGAGGAGCAUAGCGGCCUCUGCACCACGGAGCUGCUUGGUGGGGGGUGUGGGGGAACCUCAGCUACUGUCUCUCCGGAAUGUAUGACCACAAAUAUGGCGACAGUGAGUUCACAGGGCAUAGCACCACCGGCCACUGCCUCUGCAUGAGGGGCUGCCAUGCAAAGCGACCAAGAGCGACAUUUACAACCUCUUCUCUCCUUCCAACCUGGUGAGAGUCCACAUUGAGAUGGGCCCAGAUGGAAGAGUGACCGGCAAAGCAGAUGUUGAGUUUGCUACUCGGGAAGAAGCAGUGGCAGCUACCUCCAGAGACAGGGUCAGCAUGUGGCACAGAUACAUAGAACUAUUCCUGAAUUUGACAACAGGGGCUAGCAAUGGGGCGUACAGCAGUCGGGAUGCGAGGCAUGGGCUUGACCACCUACAGUGACCUGAAGAGCCAGUCAGUGAGCGGCUGUGAUGGGUCUGGCCACAGCGGGCAGAACAGCAUGGGUGAAUAGG